UAUUUCAGUAAAGUAGAUGAGCAAUCUCAAGUGCAAGUCAGAACAAGACAGUGAUGAACAAAUUCCAAGGAAGCUGUUGUGAAGAACAGAAUCCACACAGGAGUAAAGGUAGCUGAACGAGUUAAACAGCAACCCUACAGACAUUUCUAUAGUAGAAAUUACAGCUAGAAGAGGAAGGAGAUGAAGAUUGGAGUUUUUUUUUCCUUGAAAAAAUUACUUGCUGUUUUGUCUUAAGAUCAGAAAAAUCUUGGUGGAUCUUGGUGCAGAGAUGGAGGAUGACAUUACAAAAGAGAAGAGAAGCUUUAACGAUACUCACUCAUAUGCCUGUAAAGUUAAAGAUGGAGGAAGUUUUGAUUCUUAUCCUAACACACCAAGCAAACAACCUCCCAAAAGACCAAAAAAAAUGUUGUUGUAUCUUCUGACAGACAAAGUGAACUCUCUUUAAGGGACGUGCCGGACAAUACUCUCCGAAUUCUCCCAGAAGGUUAAUGAGAGAUCUGACCAACUUGAAAGAAUAGUUAAAGAAAAUUCUUUUAACAUCAAAGUUCUGGGCAAAUCUCUUACCUCAGUGUAUGAUGAUGUAAUGGUUCUGCAGAAAGAAUAUGGACUGUCCAAGCAAUCCAAUGAAAACGUGGCAGAUGCUCUGGAUGUACCACACCGUCUUGGCAGACUCAAAACUUCGGAUGAUGACAGGAGAUUGAAAGCAAGACCAGUGGCCAUGAGAUUCAACUCACGGCCAGAGAUUUAAUCUGGAGAAACUAAAAAAACAAUGAGUAUCUGACCACCAAGGGUGCAGUUUAAGGAAGACUUGACUGUUUUUUGGCCGACUGUGGAGAGAGCAAGGAAAGAAGGCAAAAAUGCAUACUUCAGCUGAGCGAGGGCUUUCGUUGACGGAAAAGAGGUUCGUCUUGAAGAAGGCAACAGUACAUAGACUUAUGGUCAUCUUAUUGCAGUCUGUAGUAGGAGGUAUCCUGAAAGUUAAGGAUAAUGUUUGCUAGGGAAAAGAAGUUCUAAAUCUGAUGGUUAUAGCUGGAUGCACUUUGAGUUUUAUUUAAUGUUUACAACUAUAAAUGUUUUUGGUGAUAAUUUGUGUGAAUCUCAUUAUGUUAAAGUUUAAAGUUUAGGCUAUUUACUUACUUUUGUGAUUCAUUUAGUAAUCAUUUGAACAUUUAUGUCUCUUUCUUUAUUUUCUAUCAAUGCCAGAGGUAUUCGUGAUAUCCUAAAGAGAAAGGCUUUGUUUUUGUAUUGCAAAGGGAAAUGUGUAGAUUUUUGUUCAAUUCAAGAAACACAUGCAUGCUCUUCAGACACUGUGUUUUGGACAAAUCAGUGGGGAAAAGAGAUUUGGUUGACAUUUGGCAGCAAUCUUUCAGCCGGGAUCACUAUUUUACAAGAUAAAUUUAUAGAGCAAGUACUAAAUUAUGAGAAAGAUGAUUGUGGUAGAUGGAUAUUACUUAUGAUAGACAAGGAUAAUGAACAAUUUGCAUUAGACAAUUGUUCUGCCACUAAUAAUAAAGUUAACAAUGACAUACUUUUUUUAAAUAUUGAAUCAAGAAUUCAGCAUUUCAUUUCGCUAUAUCCUUCAGCCCAAGUUAUUUGGGGAGGAGAUUUCAAUACUGUGUUUAAUGAAACCAUUGAUAGAAAUGGUUGGACUGGGCCCUUCUAGUGAACUGGAUAAUGUAUGUUUAAGAUUAAAGCUUUACUGGUGUGUGGUGAUGUAAUAAUCCAGGCAAGGAAGAACAGACCUAGAGUAAUAAGGACUCAUCUCUUCAUUCUUAUACUGACUAUUGGUUAGU